GUGCUUGCUUCGGCAGCACAUAUACUAAAAUUGGAAUGAUACAGAAAAUAUUAGCACGGCCCCUGUGCAAGGGACACGCAAAUUUGUGAAGUGUUCCAUAUUUUU
rnacentral:snRNA from 1 species